rnacentral:snRNA from 1 species
AUAAGCACCAUAUAUACUGGAGUUGGAACAAUACAAAGAAGAAUAGCAUGGCCCCUCCACUAGGAUGACACACAGAUUUGUUAAACACUCCGUAUUUUU